UCGUGUCAGGAUGAACGCUAGCGACAGGCCUAACACAUGCAAGUCGAGGGGCAGCACAAGGAGCAAUCUGAGGUGGCGACCGGCGCACGGGUGAGUAACACGUAUGCAACCUGCCUGUAAGCGGGGAAUAACCCGUUGAAAGACGGACUAAUACCGCAUAAUACUAAAUUACUGCAUGGUAAUUUAUUUAAACAUUUAUGGCUUACAGAUGGGCAUGCGCAUGAUUAGCUAGUUGGAGAGGUAACGGCUCCCCAAGGCAACGAUCAUUAGGGGUUCUGAGAGGAAGGUCCCCCACACUGGUACUGAGACACGGACCAGACUCCUACGGGAGGCAGCAGUGAGGAAUAUUGGUCAAUGGACGAGAGUCUGAACCAGCCAAGUCGCGUGCAGGAAGAAUUGUCCUAUGGAUUGUAAACUGCUUUUGCAGGGGAAUAAAGUGCAUCACGUGUGAUGUUUUGUAUGUACUCUGCGAAUAAGGAUCGGCUAACUCCGUGCCAGCCGCCGC
rnacentral:rRNA from 1 species